rnacentral:rRNA from 1 species
CAGGGAAUCUUGCACAAUGGGCGAAAGCCUGAUGCAGCGACGCCGCGUGGGGGAUGAAGGCCUUAGGGUCGUAAACCCCUUUCAGCAGGGACGAAAAUGACGGUACCUGCAGAAGAAGCCCCGGCCAACUACGUGCCAGCAGCCGCGGUAAGACGUAGGGGGCGAGCGUUGUCCGGAUUUAUUGGGCGUAAAGAGCUCGUAGGCGGUUGCGUAAGUCGGAUGUGAAAACUCAGGGCUCAACCCUGAGACGCCAUCCGAUACUGCGCUGACUUGAAUCCAGUAGGGGAGUGUGGAAUUCCUGGUGUAGUGGUGAAAUGCGCAGAUAUCAGGAAGAACACCUGUGGCGAAGGCGGCUAGCUGGGCCAGUUCUGACGCUGAUCCGCGAAAGCGUGGGGAGCAAACAGGAUUAGAUACCCCUGUAGUCCCUGAG